UAGAUAUGGAGAGUUUUUCCUGUCAACAUUGUUCCCUGACUGUUUCGUCUGUUGAACAAGCUGUUGACCACGUUCAUACUCACCGACUUUCCGAAAAACCGUGUGUUGUUCCUGAAUGUGGACAAUACAAACGCAAGUUAACAAGACACGUGAAAACUUCACAUCCAAACUUGUGCAGGUUCUCUUGUGAUUUGUGCUAUAGAGUGUUCGUUAAGGAUCGUGCUUUGCAGCAGCAUAAACAAAGCGGGCAAGACUGCACCAUAAAGAAAACGAGAAAAAGAAAUAGGAGUAAAAAGAAAAAAGCCAAAG